UACGUAGGUGGCAAGCGUUGUCCGGAUUUACUGGGCGUAAAGAGCGCGCAGGCGGUCGUGCAAGUCGCGUGUGAAAGCCCCCGGCUCAACUGGGGAGGGUCACGCGAUACUGCUCGACUCGAAGGCAGGAGAGGGAAGUGGAAUUCCCGGUGUAGUGGUGAAAUGCGUAGAUAUCGGGGGGAACACCAGUGGCGAAGGCGACUUCCUGGCCUGUUCUUGACGCUGAGGCGCGAAAGCUAGGGUAGCAAACGGG
rnacentral:rRNA from 1 species